GUGUCAGCCGCCGCGGUAAUACAGAGGGUGCAAGCGUUAAUCGGAUUUACUGGGCGUAAAGCGCGCGUAGGCGGCUAAUUAAGUCAAAUGCGAAAUCCCCGAGCUCAACUUGGGAAUUGCAUUCGAUACUGGUUAGCUAGAGUGUGGGAGAGGAUGGUAGAACUCCAGGUGUAGCGGUGAAAUGCGUAGAGAUCUGGAGGAAUACCGAUGGCGAAGGCAGCCAUCUGGCCUAACACUGACGCUGAGGUGCGAAAGCAUGGGGAGCAAACAGGAUUAGAUACCCCAGUAGUCC
rnacentral:rRNA from 1 species